CUAGCUUCUUGCUAGUUCUUUUUCAUUUUGUGUUUUUUAAUAUAUUCGUCGAUAGAGUGAGAGAUAGGUCUCAUACUGCCUCUUAAGGUUAGUUCUAUGCCUCACAACAACUACCUCAGAUUCUAAAUCCGUCUUUAGAUCAGAAGUAGAUGCCUCUUCCAGGGCUCUGUUUAGGCCUUUCUCGUAUAAGCAGAUGAAAGGAAGUUGAGAAGCUUGUUGACUAGCUUCUUGCUAGUUCUUUUCAUUUUGUGUUUUUUAAUAUAUUCGUCGAUAGAGUGAGAGAUAGGUCUCAUACUGCCUCUUAAGGUUAGUUCUAUGCCUCACAACAACUACCUCAGAUUCUAAAUCCGUCUUUAGAUCAGAAGUAGAUGCCUCUUCCAGGGCUCUGUUUAGGCCUUUCUUGUAUAAGCAGAUGAAAGGAAGUUGAGAAGCUUGUUGACU
rnacentral:lncRNA from 1 species